UUGUGGAGGAGGACGCCGAAGGUGGGGUUAAUGACUGGGGUGAAGUCGUAACAAGGUAGCCGUACCGGAAGGUGCGGCUGGAUCACCUCCUAACAGGGAGACAACAAAAUGUUAAAUAUUAAUUUUGUCACCUUAGGUCGAUCGGUAUCUCACAUUCUUAAUUCAUUAAGGAUUUUAUUUCCUAAGUUUUUUCUAGGUCACACCCAUUACUUUUCCUGGGCCAUUAGCUCAGGUGGUUAAAGCGCACCCCUGAUAAGGGUGAGGUCCCUGGUUCAAGUCCAGGAUGGCCCAUAUCUCUAUGUUGGGGGUAUAGCUCAGUUGGUAGAGCGCCUGCUUUGCAAGCAGGAUGUCAGCGGUUCGAGUCCGCUUACCUCCACUGAUUACCACCUCAUACGUAAUCUGUAGAAAGGAAAAUUAUUGAGUUGUGACUGCCAUUCUGAACGAAUCUAGCUUCCUAAUAAAACUAUUAAGAUGCUGGACUCAUUGAAUUAAUUUCAUUGUCUUCAGAGAACCUUGACAACUGCAUAGAUUAUUUUUAAAGACAAUAAGCAUCUUUAAUGAUGCAGAUUUAUUAUUUGUGCAAAUGCAUUAAUAACAAUUCUAUUAAGCUGAUGCUUCAAUUAUGAAGUUAUUGGUCAAGCUACAA
rnacentral:misc_RNA from 1 species